GAAAAGGACAGAGGAGGCUCCUCCAGUGCCUGCCGGGGUAGACCCUGCCGGCCUCUCCGGCUGGGAGUCCCACAGAUGGAGCAGCCAGGCUCAGGCCAGGCUGUCAGGAGCGAACAAGCGGCUGCCAGCAUGAGUAAUGAUUUAAAGGAGAAGGUUGAGACGUAGCUGAGAUGAAUACCACUGACUCUGCUGCCAUCCUGGAAGCGAUCCAUCAGGGCGGCUUGGCAAAGAGGGGCAUAAAUCCCCAGCCAGCGAGGCCAAGCAGGGCUCUGCGAGGAGGAGUGGGACCUGAUGGCAGCUUCCAGGGUUGCCUCCGGCUGGGCAGGAGCCAGCAACGUGGAAGCACCCCUUCCCUACCAGCAGCCGGGGGCCCAGAGGGAUGGAGACGUGGGACGUGAACAGGAACAGAAUGCGGAGCGGGAACGGCAAAGAGACUCCUGGCAGAUUACAUCCUGGAUGGUAACAUCAUAUAGAACACGUACAAUCCAUGGAUCUUGGAAUAGUGAAGAGAGAGCCCUGGGUCAAGAAGGAAGAAACCUAAGUUAAAAUUAUGAUUUGAUUCUUACCAGUUUUGUGCUCCUGGAAAACCCUUUGGACUUUGAUUUCCUCAAAAGGUACAUGACAAUUAUCUUAGUCAAUUCUGACUACUCUAACAGAAUAUCAUAGGCCAUGUGGUUUAUAAACCACAGAAAUUCAUUUCUCAAAGUUUUGGAGGCUGAGAAUUCCAAGGUCAAGUUGAACACUUGAUUUGGUGUUUGGUAAGAGCCCACUUUCUGGUUCAUAGACCCAGAAGCCAUCUUCUCACUGUGUCCUCACAUGAAGGAAGGGAUGAGGGAGCUCUCUGAAGUCUCUUUCCUAAGGGCACUAAUUCUGUUCACGAGGGCUCCACCCUGUAACCUAAGUACCUCCCCAAUGCCCCGCCCUUUAAGACCAUCACAGUGGGGGUUAGGUUUCAAUGCAUAAAUGUAGCAGGG
rnacentral:lncRNA from 1 species